rnacentral:rRNA from 1 species
UACGGAGGGUGCAAGCGUUAUCCGGAUUCACUGGGUUUAAAGGGUGCGUAGGUGGGCAAGUAAGUCAGUGGUGAAAUCUCCGGGCUUAACCCGGAAACUGCCAUUGAUACUAUUUGUCUUGAAUACUGUGGAGGUCAGCGGAAUAUGUCAUGUAGCGGUGAAAUGCUUAGAUAUGACAUAGAACACCAAUUGCGAAGGCAGCUGGCUACACAAAUAUUGACACUGAGGCACGAAAGCGUGGGGACCAAACAGG